CUCGUAGGCGGCUAACUAAGUCGGACGUGAAAUCCCUCGGCUUAACCGGGGAACUGCGUCCGAUACUGGAUGGCUUGAGUUCGGGAGAGGGAUGCGGAAUUCCAGGUGUAGCGGUGAAAUGCGUAGAUAUCUGGAGGAACACCGGUGGCGAAGGCGGCAUCCUGGACCGACACUGACGCUGAGGAGCGAAAGCCAGGGGAGCAAACG
rnacentral:rRNA from 1 species